rfam:Oryza sativa Japonica Group DNA, chromosome 4, cultivar: Nipponbare, complete sequence.
AUAUUGUGCAGUUAUGAGUUUCAAUAUCCAAUAUUUGAGCGUCCAUCUGAUUUGAAACUUUUUUAUAAUUAGCUUUUUAUUAGAUGAUAAAAUAUAAAUAGUACUUUAUACAUGAUUUCUUUUAUUUUUUAUAAAUUUUUUAAAUAAAGCGGACGAUCAAAUAACGUUGGAGAAGGAAAGCCAUAACUGCAUUUAAA